AACGAACGCUGGCGGCAGGCUUAACACAUGCAAGUCGAACGCAUCCUUCGGGGUGAGUGGCAGACGGGUGAGUAACGCGUGGGAACGUGCCCUUCAGUUCGGAAUAACCCAGGGCAACUUGGGCUAAGACCGGAUACGUGCGAGAGCAGAAAGAUUUAUCGCUGAAGGAUCGGCCCGCGUCUGAUUAGCUAGUUGGUGGGGUAAUGGCCCACCAAGGCGACGAUCAGUAGUUGGUCUGAGAGGAUGACCAGCCACAUUGGGACUGAGACACGGCCCAAACUCCUACGGGAGGCAGCAGUGGGGAAUAUUGGACAAUGGGCGCAAGCCUGAUCCAGCCAUGCCGCGUGAGUGAUGACGGCCUUAGGGUUGUAAAGCUCUUUCGUCCGGGACGAUAAUGACGGUACCGGAAGAAGAAGCCCCGGCUAACUUCGUGCCAGCAGCCGCCGUAA
rnacentral:rRNA from 1 species